AGGAUCAUUAUCGUAUAACAGAGGUGUAAGGGCUGUCGCUGACCUUUAAAGGUUGUGCACGCCUAAGCCCUCUCACACAAUCCAUCUCACCCCUUUUGUGCAUCACCGCGUGGGUCCUCCCUGCAAAGGAAGGGCCUGCGUUUUUAUAUAAAACUUGACACAAUGCAGAAUGUUUUCUUUUUUUGCGAUUAUAUGCAAUAAAUACAACUUUCAACAACGGAUCUCUUGGCUCUCGCAUCGAUGAAGAACGCAGCGAAAUGCGAUACGUAAUGUGAAUUGCAGAAUUCAGUGAAUCAUCGAAUCUUUGAACGCACCUUGCGCCCCUUGGCAUUCCGAGGGGCACACCUGUUUGAGUGUCGUGAAAUUCUCAAAGCCCCCUUUCCUUGGAAAAGGAGUUUUGGACUUGGAGGUUCAAUGCUUGCCUUUCAAAGCAAGCUCCUCUCAAAUAAAUUAGUGGGGUCCGCUUUGCUGAUCCUUAACGUGAUAAGAUGUUUUUAUGUUUUGGAUUUAGCACUGUCCCUUGGAUGCCUGCUCCUAACUGUCUCACGGACAAUGAUGGUGCUUCGGUCACUACCAUUUAUAUUGGUGGAAGGCUGGACCCACAAAAAUAAAACCUUGACCUCAAAUCGGGUGAGACUACCCGCUGAACUUAAGCAUAUCAAUAAGCGG
rnacentral:rRNA from 1 species